CUCCCCUACGGGACGCAGCAGUGGGGGAUAUUGCACAAUGGGGGAAACCCUGAUGCAGCGACGCCGCGUGGGUGAAGAAGCGCCUCGGCGCGUAAAGCCCUGUCAGCAGGGAAGAAAAUGACGGUACCUGAAGAAGAAGCCCCGGCUAACUACGUGCCAGCAGCCGCGGUAAUACGUAGGGGGCAAGCGUUAUCCGGAUUUACUGGGCGUAAAGGGAGCGUAGGCGGCCUGCCAAGUCUGAUGUGAAAUACCGGGGCUCAACCCCGGGGCUGCAUUGGAAACUGGCAGGCUGGAGUGCCGGAGAG
rnacentral:rRNA from 1 species